UUGAAUUCUGGAAUGAAAGAUUUUACAUUUAGCUUUUUUUUAAAAUUUUAUUUUUAACUUAGGGUUUUAGUAAAAACACUGAAAUUCUUAAAAAAGACGAUAAGACCCUAAAAGCUUUAUAUUAAAGAAAUAUUUUACUGGGGUAGUAAUAUUAUCAAUUAAUAAUAAGUUAACUUUUGUUAGGUUAUUCCUUAAUAUUAGGAUAAAAUAAGUUACUUUAGGGAUAACAGCAUAAUAAUGUUGGAGAGAACACAUCUAUAACUUUGAUUAUGACCUCGAUGUUGAAUUAAUAAUUCUUUUUAAAGCAGCUUUUAAAUAAGAGGGUUUGUUCAACCUUUAAA
rnacentral:rRNA from 1 species